AUUGAACGCUGGCGGCAGGCCUAACACAUGCAAGUCGGGCGGAGCGGCGGACGGGUGAGUAAUGUAUGGGGAUCUGCCUGAUGGAGGGGGAUAAAUACUGGAAACGGUAGCUAAUAUCGCAUACCAUCAGAUGUACCCCUAUGGGAUUAGCUUGUAGGUAAGGUAACGGCGUACCUAGGCGACGAUCCCUAGAUGGUCUGAGAGGAUGAUCAGCCAAGAUGGAACUGAGACACGGCCCAGACUCCUACGGAAGGCAGCAGUGGGGAAUAUUGGACAAUGGGAGAAAGCCUGAUCCAGCCAUGCCGCGUGUGUGAAGAAGGUCUUCGGAUUGUAAAGCACGUUAAGUUGGGAGGCGUUACCAGCAGAAUAAGCACCGGAUAACUACGUGCCAGCAGCCGCGGUAAUAC
rnacentral:rRNA from 1 species